UGGGGAAUUUUGGACAAUGGGCGAAAGCCUGAUCCAGCAAUGCCGCGUGUGUGAAGAAGGCCUUCGGGUUGUAAAGCACUUUUGUCCGGAAAGAAAUCCUUGGCUCUAAUACAGUCGGGGGAUGACGGUACCGGAAGAAUAAGCACCGGCUAACUACGUGCCAGCAGCCGCGGUAAUACGUAGGGUGCAAGCGUUAAUCGGAAUUACUGGGCGUAAAGCGUGCGCAGGCGGUUUGCUAAGACCGAUGUGAAAUCCCCGGGCUCAACCUGGGAACUGCAUUUGGGUGACUGGCAGGCUAGAGUAUGGCAGGAGGGGGGUAGAAUUCCACGUGUAGCAGUGAAAUGCGUAGAGAUGUGGAGAAUACCCGCAU
rnacentral:rRNA from 1 species